AACUCUGGAGAGUCUCGUGAAAGAGCGCCGAAGGUGUACGGCAGUUAUGAUGAAAAAACUGCCAAUCUCUCAGGCAAAAGGACAGAGCGGU
rnacentral:ncRNA from 1 species